GAGUGGCGAACGGGUGAGUAACACGUGGGUAACCUGCCCAUCAGAAGGGGAUAACACUUGGAAACAGGUGCUAAUACCGUAUAACAAUCGAAACCGCAUGGUUUUGAUUUGAAAGGCGCUUUCGGGUGUCGCUGAUGGAUGGACCCGCGGUGCAUUAGCUAGUUGGUGAGGUAACGGCUCACCAAGGCGACGAUGCAUAGCCGACCUGAGAGGGUGAUCGGCCACAUUGGGACUGAGACACGGCCCAAACUCCUACGGGAGGCAGCAGUAGGGAAUCUUCGGCAAUGGACGAAAGUCUGACCGAGCAACGCCGCGUGAGUGAAGAAGGUUUUCGGAUCGUAAAACUCUGUUGUUAGAGAAGAACAAGGAUGAGAGUAACUGUUCAUCCCUUGACGGUAUCUAACCAGAAAGCCACGGCUAACUACGUGCCAGCAGCCGCGGUAAUACGUAGGUGGCAAGCGUUGUCCGGAUUUAUUGGGCGUAAAGCGAGCGCAGGCGGUUUCUUAAGUCUGAUGUGAAAGCCCCCGGCUCAACCGGGGAGGGUCAUUGGAAACUGGGAGACUUGAGUGCAGAAGAGGAGAGUGGAAUUCCAUGUGUAGCGGUGAAAUGCGUAGAUAUAUGGAGGAACACCAGUGGCGAAGGCGGCUCUCUGGUCUGUAACUGACGCUGAGGCUCGAAAGCGUGGGGAGCAAACAGGAUUAGAUACCCUGGUAGUCCACGCCGUAAACGAUGAGUGCUAAGUGUUGGAGGGUUUCCGCCCUUCAGUGCUGCAGCUAACGCAUUAAGCACUCCGCCUGGGGAGUACGACCGCAAGGUUGAAACUCAAAGGAAUUGACGGGGGCCCGCACAAGCGGUGGAGCAUGUGGUUUAAUUCGAAGCAACGCGAAGAACCUUACCAGGUCUUGACAUCCUUUGACCACUCUAGAGAUAGAGCUUCCCCUUCGGGGGCAAAGUGACAGGUGGUGCAUGGUUGUCGUCAGCUCGUGUCGUGAGAUGUUGGGUUAAGUCCCGCAACGAGCGCAACCCUUAUUGUUAGUUGCCAUCAUUUAGUUGGGCACUCUAGCAAGACUGCCGGUGACAAACCGGAGGAAAGGUGGGGAUGACGUCAAAUCAUCAUGCCCCUUAUGACCUGGGCUACACACGUGCUACAAUGGGAAGUACAACGAGUCGCAAAGUCGCGAGGCUAAGCUAAUCUCUUAAAGCUUCUCUCAGUUCGGAUUGUAGGCUGCAACUCGCCUACAUGAAGCCGGAAUCGCUAGUAAUCGCGGAUCAGCACGCCGCGGUGAAUACGUUCCCGGGCCUUGUACACACCGCCCGUCACACCACGAGAGUUUG
rnacentral:rRNA from 1 species